AGGGGUAUAGCUUAGUGGUAGAGCACAUGCUUAACAUGCAUGAGGUCCUGGGUUCAAUCCCCAGUACCCCCA
rnacentral:tRNA from 1 species